CGACGACUGUCUCUUCGAGUAUUUGCACGCCGAGCUGGUCAAUUACGUUUUGAGCAGGAUGUCCAACGCUGUGGCAGAAAUCGUCUGUGCAAAUGAUAAAUUUUUCCCCGCCGUUUGGGCGUGACAAGUCCUGUUAUUUACUACGUAAGAAUUCUCCGAAUUGUCGUUUCCAACAGAAAGGCGAGGAAGAAUAUACAUAAAUAACAAAUAAGAAGGAACGAAUCCCGAAUCUUCCGGAGUGCCCCCGGAUAAAAAUAAAUUUCGGCAGCAGAAUCAAUGACAGUCGCCGUUUCCAAUUUAUCAUUACAUAAUUCAAGAUUCGAGUUUGUUAGGGGAAAACCCAGGAUUAAUUCUGGAUCUGCAACAAGCACUCUCAACUCUCAAUGAGACGAUAAAUCAUGAUAAACAUUGAUACAAGAUCACCACGAUAGGAGCUUCAUCCUAAUUCCUCUUGUACAAGAUGCACAGAUUACUCGUUCGCAGCGAAGUCUCCUAUCGCAUUCAUCAUUUCUUUCCGAAGAAAAACACUGUGAAAUUUAGAUCAAAGGGACUGCUAUGAAAAAAAAUUUUAAGGGGAAAUUAAGAACGGCCUGUCAAAAAUAUACUCAGUGCGCGUUCGUAACUAUUAUUCUGUC